rnacentral:rRNA from 1 species
AGACUUUGAUCCUGGCUCAGAUUGAACGCUGGCGGCAGGCCUAACACAUGCAAGUCGAGCGGUAGCACAGAGAAGCUUGCUUCUUGGGUGACGAGCGGCGGACGGGUGAGUAACGCGUGGGAAUCUACCUGGUAGUGGGGGACAACAGUCGGAAACGACUGCUAAUACCGCAUACGCCCUUCGGGGGAAAGUGGGGGAUCUUCGGACCUCACGCUAUCAGAUGAGCCCGCGUCGGAUUAGCUUGUUGGUGAGGUAAAGGCUCACCAAGGCGAUGAUCCGUAGCUGGUCUGAGAGGAUGACCAGCCACACUGGGACUGAGACACGGCCCAGACUCCUACGGGAGGCAGCAGUGGGGAAUAUUGGACAAUGGGGGCAACCCUGAUCCAGCCAUGCCGCGUGUGUGAAGAAGGCCUUCGGGUUGUAAAGCACUUUCAGC